GCCUGGCUGGCUCAGUUGGAAGAGCAUGUGACUCUUGAUCUUGGGGUUGUGAGUUCAAGCCCCACACUGGGUG
rnacentral:tRNA from 1 species